rnacentral:rRNA from 1 species
CGCUGGCGGCGUGCCUAAUACCUGCAAGUCGAGCGCACGGACGAGAAGCUUGCUUCUCUGCUGUUAGCGGCGGACGGGUGAGUAACACGUGGAUAACCUACCUAUAAGACUGGGAUAACUUCGGGAAACCGGAGCUAAUACCGGAUAAUAUUUUGAACCGCAUGGUUCAAAAGUGAAAGACGGUCUUGCUGUCACUUAUAGAUGGAUCCGCGCUGCAUUAGCUAGUUGGUAAGGUAACGGCUUACCAAGGCAACGAUGCAUAGCCGACCUGAGAGGGUGAUCGGCCACACUGGAACUGAGACACGGUCCAGACUCCUACGGGAGGCAGCAGUAGGGAAUCUUCCGCAAUGGGCGAAAGCCUGACGGAGCAACGCCGCGUGAGUGAUGAAGGUCUUCGGAUCGUAAAACUCUGUUAUUAGGGAAGAACAUAUGUGUAAGUAACUGUGCACAUCUUGACGGUACCUAAUCAGAAAGCCACGGCUAACUACGUG